GUCCCUUAGCGAACUUUGUAAAUUUAGAGCAAUCCCAUAAAUAGCUUGAUUAAAUUCGUGAUUUGGUUCUGAAUAAUAAUAUUCUCAAUAUUUUUUACAUAUUCUGUUUGUUUAUUUACUGUUUGUUUACAACUUUAAACCAGUUUGCACUAAAUUCUGUGCAGUAUCCUUGGUCAUCUGGUCUCACUACCAGGUUAGAACGAUUGAUCAAAUUUUUCCACAUAAAGUCAAAUUGGUUAAAAUUGUUAAAAUAUUUUAAUUAAUAAUUUGGAAUUCUUUCAUUUUUUAGUUGGAUUUAGUUUGUGAAAUCGGCGGAUCUGAGCAAGCGUGAGCGUGAGCGUGAGCGUGCACGUGAACUUGCAUUGUGGUUUAUAUCGGUUCAGCAGCAUCCUUAAGCAAACUUAUUGCUCUCCUUAAGCAAACUUAUUGCUCAAGACCCUGCUGGAUCUACCCUAGCUCUGUUCAACCCCGAUCAGCGAAACAAUUUUUGAAACCGCUGUGCUGUUAUCAAUCUGUGAACUGAUCGGAACCCUUUCUAAGAAGAUUGUAUUUAUUAAUAAAGAUUUACGUUACUUAA